AGCAGACUCUCAGCACAGUAACAUCCACCAUCACAGCGCCACUGAGAUCCUCUGGUUCUUUUACAAAGUUCCCCAUGAUGACUCGUGUUUUCUUCACCUCGCGGCGUUUUCCCAUUAUAGCGUGUAUAGGAGGAGGAGUCUGCCAGCUGUAGCUUGUUUGCAGACUCGGUGCGUUUUGCACUAAGCCAGUGCUUCUAUGGGUCAGGCUUAGUUCCAGUCUGAAUUAAAAUGAAUUAAUUAUAUUUUUUCCUCUUGUUUUCAAAAAGAGUUUCUUUGACGGACAGCUUGUGAGGAGACACAGCAGCAGGGAUAUUUGGUCAUGACCGUCUCCGUUUAACUCUGCGAUGGAGUCAAGUAUGAGACUUAUUGUUCUUCUGAUUGUGAUGAGAUUUUCUGCUUCUGAGGAAGUGAAGAAGAACCUGACGGGCACUGUGGGAGGAAACAUCACUCUACCUGACUCUGUGCAGGAGAAAGACGUAGGAUUUCUGUUAUAUGGAAGAACGAAUAUUGCUCAUGUGAUUAAGGGGGGAUUUGAAAUACACAAGGACAUUUACAUGAACAGACUUCAGUGGGACAGAAACUCUGGACUCUUUACACUCACAGAGCUGCAGAGGGACGACUCAGGGAUUUAUACUGUCGACUCUAAAACAGGAAAAGUUUUCACAUCAUCAUAUAAGCUCACAGUGUACGAUCCUGUACCAACACCUAACGUGACAAAGCUGAACUCCAGCUCUGAGAGCUGCUCCUUACUGUGUUGGGUGGACAGAGAGACCACACUGCUGUGGUUCAAAGACGAGCAGAUGCUGAACCAGAGCAGCUCUGCGCUCUCUCUGCCUCUCACUGUGCACAAACAGGACUUCAGCUCCUCUUACAGAUGUGUGGCUGCAAACCCUGCAGAGGAGAAAACUCUUCCUGUCCGUGUGAGAACCACCUGUGGAGACACAGACGACAACGACACCAACAGCUCGACUGAACCAAGAAACUAUAACAUCCUCAUUAUAAUCUUCUGUCUCCUGUUGGUUGUGAUGAUCAUACUUGCUACUUUCAUCAUCAAGUCAAAGUAUCUUUCCCGAAACAAAACGAAGACAAACGGACAGGCACAAGGCUCCGCAGGCACACAGGAAGAGGUCCAAUAUAGUGAAAUACAAAUAAGCAACAACAGACAGGUUGGUGAUGUUUCACUGAGAAACUCUAUCAUUAGCAGCUCUGUCUCCAGGGCAGAUGUCAUCAUGUGUCUGUUAGCAAACAUGCUGUGUUUGUUCUCACCAGUUCCUGGAAACUCAAUGCAAAUAGCACCUGCAGCACACAAAGGCUCAGGUGUGCACAGGUCAUCUGCCAAUCAGAAGGCUGGUGGUUCAAUCCCUGAGUGUGUGUGUGUGUGUGUGUGUGUGUGUGUGUGUGUGUGUGUGUGUGUGUUCGGCUGGUGUAGCGUCUGCGUUGUUCGCCUGACAUGAACAUUUUGCAGAAAUCCUUCUUUUUCCAAGGAAAAUAAAACGAUAACCUUGAAGCUCAUUUCCUGCCAUUUAUCGAGUCAUGCUCAGUAGCCCUGUUUACAUCAGCAGGAUGGACUCUGAUAACAGGAACGCCCUGUUACAGGAACAGCAGUAUCUAUUUCAUCUCUUCCACUUUACUCUGUUAUCUGAUGCCUCUACUUUCUCCUCUCCAGGGGGAAAAUAUACCAGAGUCCUCAACAACGAUCUGCCACACCAACCUGACCACAGUAUACGAUAAGCUGGAGGCCCAUCGCAUGAUCACGGACAACCAUGCUGAAAAUACCUGAGACCACACGAGAAAUUCCCAACCGAGAGUUUCCAGAAAGAAAAUUUUCAGGUUAUUGUUUUUUUGACUGAAUUAGUUGCUUUCGUUUUAUUUACAUUAUUUCAUUUAUUUUACGAACUGCAUGUGCCUCUGUGUCAGCCUGUUAGAUUUCUGUUAUUGAGUCUCACAUUUCAGUUGAAUUCACAGCAAAGCUUGUUUUCACUUCCUGCAGCUAAUAAAAAGUCUGUGCAUGAAGGAAUUUGGGAAAUGAGUCAAUGAUUUAAAAACAACUAACACACUCAGCUCAGGUACAGCUGAACUGGUUUCAUAGUUAAAGCUGUCGACUGAAUGCAGCGAAGCAGCCACGAUGUCCAAACAUCGGCUUUGUGUGAAAGAGAUCAACCGAGUUCCACUUUUGAGUUACACAAUUUUGUACCACAAGACGUGCAGCGAGUCAGUCUUGUUUUCUCCAUCCAGUGUUAAAAUGAUCUUCCUUGUUCAGCCCAGACUGUGCAGGCUGGUGGUGGCAUCUCACCCGGACUGUUGGCUGAUACUUUUGGUGAUUUAUGUUCAGACUGGUUCCAAAAAACAUUUCAUCCUUCAUGUUUUCUGUCUUGUUCUCCCACUCUUGGUUUUCUGUGUCUGUGUGUUUCCUUGGAAAUAUCAUAACCUCAUUUUGUAAAUAAACCUGUUCAAACCUUUCCAUUGCUCAGCAUGUGGGUCCUUCCUUCUGCCUGCAGACUAGUGUUACCUGUUGCUUGUCAGGUGAUACUCCCUCUAACCCGGAUGCUCCCAUUGGUCCAGAGCCGUCCUCUGGUUCUCAGCAGCAGUGUGGACCAACAUCACCUGGAACCUCUGUUACAAAAAGACUUUUUUGUGUAAUGAUCAGUGUUGGGAAGGUUACUUUUAACAUGAAUUCCACUACAGAUUACAGAUUACAUGCCCCAAAAUGUAUUUUGUAAUGUAAUCCAUUACAUUACUCAAUGAGAGUAACGUAUUCUGAAUACUUUGGAUUACUUAAUAUAUUAUCAUCCUUUUUACAACUACAUGAAUGUGAUUUAUUACUAUUACUGAAGGUUACUCUCCACACCAACACCAGCUAGAUGUUUGAAUCUUAAUAUAAAUGAGUAACAGUAGGUGGACAUUAGGUAAGGCUGCACUUUUUGCUGUGAUCUCGUGUAGAAAACUAUUCCUCGCGUAUAUAAAACAGGUCCGCGGCUCUGAACCGUAGUAAAGGGACCUCUGGCUGAUACGUCGGGUUCAUGUCGGCUCGUAGCUGAAAACUAGCUUUGCUUUGUUGUCUGGGUCACUUUGCUAGCAGAGACAGAGAGAGGCGUUGAAAGGCUGCUGCAACAGAACUUAUUGUUUCAGAGGAAACAGGAACACAGUGUACAGUCGAGUCUUAACAGCUUACUCACAGCUGGGCUCGUCGGCUCUGUUUGGCUGCAGUGGUUAUUAUUAUAUUUACAUGCUUCAUACAUGCGAUGCCUGUAACACUCUGCCUAUUGCCUUCAUAUUAAAUCUUUUUUUGAAUAAUAAUUUUUUUAAAUAUUCCUUCGCGUCAUUAUGCGGCUGCAAGUAGAGGUGACAUGAGCCGUGACGUUCAGACACGGCAUUAGAGCCUCGCGUGUUUUGUUUGGGUUUCCACCGGCGUGGACUUACAGAAAAUAGAGAGGGGACAGCCGAACAUAUGAAACAGGAAAAUACCGCCGUGUAAUCCGUUUAUUUUGACAAAGUUACUGUAUUCUAAGUACCACCUUUUUAAACGGUAACUGUAACUGAAUACAGUUACUCAUAUUUUGUAUUUUAAAUAUGUAACGGCGGUACAUGUACUCCAUUACUUCCCAAGACUGGUAAUAACCAUAUUCAACAUUACAAGGACACUCAGCAGCAACCGGUCCAACCAGGUCGGGUCCAAGCAGCUCUGCAGCCGUCUUCUCAACAGCCAACUCUCUGCACCUCAUAUGUCCUCGCCAGCUGACUGUAAUACUGCUGAAUACUGAAAUGUCUGAUCUUAAUCAGAGAUCCGUCCAUCUGUCAAUCAGACCCUCUUUUCUGCUGACUCAGUUAAAGAAGCUUACACCUCACCUCUGGUAUCUGUUGGUCUCUCAGCUAUAGUAACUGCACUCGUGCACAAUCCAGGGAUUCAGCAGCUUUUGUCCUGCGUCCAGUUUGUUUGAAAUCCUGGUGGAAACGGUGGCUUCUGAUGUUCAUGCUCACCUCUCUGCCAAUAACCUUCAUGAACAAUAACAUGUGGUUUCCACCUCCUCACAGCAACAGCCUCGGUAAAUGUCCACACCCAGUUCAUUCUCUGAACUCACACCCAAGGAUCUGACCUGGAGUCUGUUCUGUUUAUUAUUUAUCUACUUCUUAUUGGUCAAAUCUUCCCCUUAAUAUCAGUUCAGCAUCAUUAUCAUUAUUAUCAUUAUUAAUUAAUUAAUAUUUGCUGGUUUUAUACGUUUUAAGCUUUGGUUUCUGUCCUGUGGAGCUAAACGUGAUCACUGAUGUUCAACAACAUUUAUUAGUUUAUAAAGUCCUAAUCCAUAACACACCCGUCCCUGUGUGAUGUCACUGUUACUUUAGUAGUGUGUGACAGCUAAUGUUUUUUCUUCUGCCCACAUAUUCUGUGAUAUUCUGCAAACGUGUAAUUAACAUGUAACUAAAGGCACAUUAAUCUGUCAUUUUUAACAAUGAAGUUAUUUAUAUUUGCAUGCCAAUAAAGACUGAACUUAUCAGACUGUUAUGGUG
ensembl:lncRNA